UACGAAGGGGGCUAGCGUUGCUCGGAAUCACUGGGCGUAAAGGGUGCGUAGGCGGGUCUUUAAGUCAGAGGUGAAAUCCUGGAGCUCAACUCCAGAACUGCCUUUGAUACUGAGGAUCUUGAGUACGGGAGAGGUGAGUGGAACUGCGAGUGUAGAGGUGAAAUUCGUAGAUGUUCGCAAGAACACCAGUGGCGAAGGCGGCUCACUGGCCCGUUACUGACGCUGAGGCACGAAAGCGUGGGGAGCGAACAGG
rnacentral:rRNA from 1 species